UAGGAAGGAAGCGCCAUCACAUGUGAAGAGAACUGGAUUAUUUCUGUGUUCAAUGAAAACUACAACAGUAUACAACUUAAACUCUCUAAUUGUGACAAAGAAUUUGGACCACAGGUUGAAUAAAUCACGCUGUUUAUUUAAUUUAUUAUUUUAUGAACAGUCAACACACAGUAUAUUAUUGCAAGGAAACAUGCUUGCCAUAUAAGAUAGGAUAUGAAUCAUUCGUCAAUCAUUUCCCCCUGGAGAUUCAGUUUGUAGGGAGUAUUAUUCCAGCAUCAAUGUUCAAGGGCACCUCACAUUCUUAAUGCUGUAAAUGGAAAAGAGGGCCCUGAUCCGGGCAAGUACCAGACCUCAAAUACCUUCCCAAGUACAUAUACGGCCCCCAGAGAAAGACUCUUAGUGUGGAGUCGUUUUUCAGUUUGUAAAAACUGAAGCG